GUUAAAUACAGGGGGCACUUAGGCCAAGUGCACAAAUUUUCAUUUUGAGUUGGGGGAUUAGCUCAAAUGGUAGAGCUUAGCAUGUGAGAAGUAGCGGGAUCAAUGCUUGAUUCUCCACUAAAGCUUAAUUAAUUAUGUGCCUGUGAUUAAUGGAAAACGACCAGAUUUGUAAAUAAACAUUGCUCACUUUGAAUCAGCAGGAUGCAUCAACGUGUCAUUGCAAAAGGACUUGUUGAAUGGCAUUAAUGUGUUUUUUCUUGAUGAUCUGAGCACAAUGGAUUAGCAGUCCAUUAUCUUAACCACUCGGCCACCUCGUCCUAUUUCUUUUGUUUUCAUAGGAUGAUUAGAUAAUUGUCAAUAUUGUAGCAUGUUUUUCAUGUUCCUGGGAAGUUUGUAAAGGCGUUAAAUGCAGGGGGGCACUUAGGUCAAGUACACAAGUUUGCAUUAUGUGUUGGGGAAUUAGCUCAAAUGGUAGAGCGCUCGCUUAGCAUGCGAGAAGUAGCGUGAUCAACGCCCGCAUUCUCCACUAAAACUUAAUUAAUUUUGUGCCUGCGAAUAGUGGAAAAUGACCAGAUUGAUAAACAACUGCUGCACAAUCGAAAUCAGCAGGAUGCACCUGCGUGUCGUUGCAAAAUGACUCGUUGAAUGCAUCAAUGCGGUUUUCUUGACGAUCUGAGCCUUUCUCCAAACACUGACAUGGUAAGCGAGCAUCAGGUAAAUGCGACGAGAAUGGGAUUCGAACCCAUGCGUGCAGAGCACAAUGGAUUAGCAGUCCAUCGCCUUAACCACUCGGCCACCUCGUCCGACUGCCUUUGUUUUCAUAGGAUGAUUAGAUA
ensembl:lncRNA